UACGGGGGGGGCAAGCGUUGUUCGGAAUUACUGGGCGUAAAGGGCGCGUAGGCGGCCAUCUAAGUCAGACGUGAAAUCCCCCGGCUUAACCUGGGAACUGCGUCUGAUACUGGACGGCUUGAGUAUGGGAGAGGGAUGUAGAAUUCCAGGUGUAGCGGUGAAAUGCGUAGAUAUCUGGAGGAAUACCGGUGGCGAAGGCGGCAUCCUGGACCAUUACUGACGCUGAUGCGCGAAAGCUAGGGGAGCAAACGGG
rnacentral:rRNA from 1 species